AAAAAAUAUUUAAGGGAAAAACGUUUGAAACGCUUCAUCUCCUUCCUCUCUCUGCCGUUUUGUUUUCUUUCUGCCUUUUUCGUCUCCUUUUGCUUGAUUUAAACUUCUAACUUGGUAUCAACGUAUUAAUGGCCAACGCCUCUUCAAACGCUUCGUCUUCCUCAGCCACUACCAUUUUCACCAACCCACCAUAGAAUCAAUUGUUGAACCAAAUCACCUCAGUGAAACUCGACCGAAACAACUACCUACUAUGAAAAACCCUUGCAUUACCCAUCCUAAGAAGCUACAAACUAGAACGACAUCUCACAGGUGAAAAACCUUGUCCUCCGACGUUCGUCUCAGCAAUGACUGAAGAUUUCAGUCUCCUUCAAGGUGGGGAUGUUUUCGAAAGCACCGAUGAAAAAAGCCUCGUCGAGCUCUGCUCGCUCCAGAACAGUAAAUCCUUUGUUCGAACAAUGGGUCACAACGGAUCUCCUACUACUCGGAUGGCUCUAUAACUCGAUGAUCCCUAAAGUAGCCUUGCAGCUGUUAGGCUUCAACAACGCUAAGGAUUUGUGGGAAGCUACCCAAGACCUCUUCGAUGUGCAAUCAAGAACAGAAGAAGAUUUUCUUCGCCAUGUUUUUUAGACUACCAAGUAAGGUUCUUCUCGAUCUAGAGGAAAUAUACAAUCCGGUCAUCGCUGUCAUACAAGGCAAACCGGAUAUCUCUUAGCUGGAUAUGCAGUCUGAGUUCCUCAUCUAUGAGAAACGAUUGGAACACCAAAAUGCUUAAAGAAACCUUGGUAACAUUGUCCCUGCUGUAAAUAUGGCUCAAAGUCGAAACUCUAAUGAAUCCAGACAGAUGAACAGCUAUCAUCAGACCAACUCUCGACCCUCUUUUAAUCAACAACGUGGAGGAGGCAAUGACAAUUCCAACACUGGUCAAGGACGAGGCAACAAACCUACAUGUCAAGUUUGCGGUAAAUAUGGACAUUCAGCCCUUGUGUGCUUUAAUUGUUUUAACAAAGAAUUUGUUGGGAAUUUUGGAUAGAAUAGGGGAGGACAGAGCUCAAAUCCUGGUAACAAUACCCUACCCAACCCUACCGCAUUCAUAGCUACCCAAAACUCCAAUCCUUUUGCUGGUUUAGAAACAGUUGUUGAUCUGAAUUGGUAUUUGAACAGUGGGGCUACAAACUAUGUCACUGCUGAUUAUGCAAACUUGAACAAUCUAGGGGAAUACUCAGGUAAUAAGAAAGAUAUAGCAGGAAAUGGAAAUAAACUGCAAAUAUCCUGUGUUGGUAAUACCUUGUUAUGAUGGAAAGAACACUGUCAUACUUGAGAGCGUAUUGUGUGUUCCUGAAAUUACAAAGAACUUAGUUAGUGUAUCUAAGUUAGCCCAAGAUAAUAACAUCUAUUUUGAAUUUUAUAAUGUGCAUUACUUUGUUAAGGACAAGCGUAUGGGUCAAACACUACUGAAAGGAAACCUUAAGGAUGGGUUGUAUCACCUGGACCAAGUAGCUAUGGAAAGGAAAGAGGAGUGGAAGAAUCAGAACAAUGAGGACAGAAGGCUUUUGAACAUAAAUAAGAACAUUUCUGAAUUAUUUUUGUCUGAAAAAACAACAAGAGUUAAUGUAGUUGUAUCUAAAGCAUCUGCUAUAGACGUCUAGGUCAUCCUUCAAUGAAAAUUUUGAAUUCUAUCAUUAGUGAUUGUAAUCUGAAAGUUCAAAGUAAUGAAGAGAAUUUAUUUUGUGAACCA